AGCGACGAUAGCACGUUGAGUGAACCAGUCCCCGAUGGAUCACUGAAGCUGAGCAACAUUGCUCAUGGUUGGUAUCCGGAUGGGUGACCAUCCGGAUAAACUCAGAUGUGUCCCGC
rnacentral:rRNA from 1 species